CAUUUUCCACUUGAGGCGCCGCUCGCGCAGCUUUGAGAACAGCCAAGAGAAAGAGAGCGUCAGCGGUAUAGGCAGGAUGAUUGACACACUGUCGAUUGUGAGUGACAGCGGCGUGGUGCUGUGGCAGUGUACAACCCACGAGACAGGGCGGCGUGUCAUGGUGAACAAGCUGAUCCAGGAAGUACUGCUAGAGGAUCGUGCAGGUCUCGCGCAAUACAGCGUGGACAACUACCAGCUGCGGUGGGUCUUGGAGAACGACGCCAGGUUCUUCGUCGUGGCGGUCUAUCCUAAGUUCUUCAAGCCGCACUACAUGCACGUUUUUCUGCGCGACAUCGCAACUACCUUUGCUAAGAAAUACGGUAAGCAAACAGCCCAGCAGGACUUCUUCUCCAGCAUUCAAGGGAGCAGCAAUCAGGUGCCGGCCGAAAACUUGAUGGAGUUUAGUGCAGAAUACGCCGCACUGCUCGCGAAGUUCAAUGCCAGCGAGGAGGCGGCCUCGCGGCAUGGCGUAGAAGGCGAGGAUAGAGAUGAGGCUGCGUGCAGCGGUAGCAGUGGCGCAGCGGGAGAGGCAAGCGACAGCGGCUCCGCGCAGGAGGACAGCGCGGGCGUUGGCGUUUACGGGGACAACCCCCAGCAGCCCGCCGCACAGAAUGCGGGCAAGGUUAUCGUGACGAAGGAUGGUCGCCGUCUCACUAUUGGCGGCGGUCCUGGCAAGGGUAAUGCAAGUGGUGCAUCGGAGGCGGCGGCAUCCAGCGGCGCGGUCAAGAAGCGUGGCAAAAAGCCGACCAGGUGGGACAACCCCGGGGCUGUUCACGACCCGAUGGUGGAGAAGCAGUUACACGAGAAAAAGGCCACCGAGGAGGAGCUGCAGGCGCAGGCUAGCAUACAGCGCGAGACGUACAUCAAGCGCCUGCCUAACGGUGGCAUUGCCCCGGUGAAGGAGCGGGAGUGGGAGGGGCAGUCGCGUGGUCGCUUGGCGACGUGGCUGCGCUCCUAUGUCGGCACCCGCGAGGUAGACGCAGAGGACUUGAAGAAAAUCAUCCCUGACUUGCGCGAGAAGCUCAUCGCGAAGAACGUUGCCGUGGAGGUUGCCGAGCACGUGUGCAAGUCUGUCGAGGCUUCCCUCGCUGGCAAGCGGCUCGGCACGUUUGACUCGCUCUACAAGACCGUCGAGGACGCCAUGAUGGCCUCGCUGCGCCGCAUUCUGCAGCCGAAGUGCGAGGUGAACCUCUUGCGCGACGUAGCUGCUGCCAAGGCCGCCGGGAAACCCUACUCCAUUGUACUCUGCGGGGUGAAUGGGGUGGGUAAGUCUACGUCCCUCGCGAAGAUAACGUAUUGGCUGCAACAGAACGGUAAUUCGGUCCUCUUGGCCGCCGGCGACACCUUCCGACAUGGCGCGGUGGAACAGCUGGGGGUGCACGGACGGUGCUUGGGGGCCCCCGUCUUUCAGCUAGGCUACGGAACCGAUCCUUCCGCUGUCGCUGCGGCAGCCAUGGCGCAGGCAAGCAAGCAGCACAUCGAUGUGGUAAUGAUCGACACGGCUGGCAGGAUGCAGGAUCACGAGCCUCGCAUGCGAGCCUUGGCGAAGCUCAUCCAUGACAAUCAACCCGAUCUCGUCCUCUUUGUUGGUGAGGCCCUAGUGGGCAACAAUGGCAUCGAUCAGCUGCGCAAGUUCAACCAGUGUCUCGUGGACUUCGCGCCUGUCGGUUCUCGGUCGCGCGGUAUCGAUGGCAUUGUGCUGACCAAGUUCGACACGAUCGACGACAAGGUCGGCGCAGCGCUCUCCAUGGUGUACGAGCUCGGUCAGCCCAUCGUGUUCGUGGGCGUUGGGCAGACUUACCAGGACUUGAAGGUGAUCGAGCCGGAGGUGGUGGUGAGCGCGCUGAUGAAGUGAGUGGCGCAGCUUUGACUGAACGAACGCACUCCUCAGGGAUCGAUCCGCGUGAUGCGAGCACGGGAAGCUGCAGCAGCGCUGCCGCUCUCUGCACUCCUAUUAUUGCACUCUCACAUUUGUGACUGUACUAGGGAUGGAACACCUCUGCCUCCAUCUCCUCGUGAUCUGCUGUGGCGGAGGUCGGAGUUGGGGGAAUGCGCUGACGUGCACGCUGAUAUGAACAGAUACGCGGCCGCACGUAUGUGUGCUUGCAUUAAGCGCUACCGGCUUGUCCAGUGCGGCCGCUCUUUUUUUUUUUUCGCCCCCUUCCCCCCCCCCUAGCUGCUGCGCUGCACUCCUUGCGCACCUGUGCCAGCCGCUGUGAACACACAUUUCUUUGCUUUUUUUUACUGUUGUGCGGCUGUGCGCACACCGCGCACGCCGAGAGCGUGCCGCUACACCUCUCAAUCGCGUUUGCACGAGGAUUGGGCAAAGCGAAGCGCGAAUACCCGCGCUCAUAUGAAAGGGGGCGACUAUGCCGGGCCGAAGGCAACGUAGGAUUGCGUGCGAAGUCGUGUGCGUGCACAUGAAUGGGACUGGAACUCUCGCAGCUGACCUCCUCCCUUCAUGUAGGCUCCUGUGCAGGCAAGAAAUGCCCGGUGAGGUGCUGCUGCACCGCUCACCCUCCGCGCACAAUAGCCUCCAUCAUCGUUUGCAAACACGCAACUCAGCGGACGACCAGGACGGAGAAGCAAGCUGAUGACUUGAGAACCACGGCGGCUGAAACGCAAGGCGGAGUCGCGGAAGGCCAGCUGCGAUUGCCGCAACGCGGUCUGGGCGGUGACAAACCUCCCUCAACACUUUUUUCCCCUUCAGUGCUGGCCGAAGGAUGGGCGGUUUCGAGUGCAGCUAUGGAGGAAGGGCUACUGCUUUGAUUCUAGAUCGGUGCUGGGCCGUGUCCCACUACAUUCCUCCUCACCCCCACGCACCGCCAUCUUUUACGGAACUGACAG
rnacentral:misc_RNA from 1 species